rnacentral:tRNA from 1 species
AAAGAAUUAAUUUAUAAAAAUAUUAGUAUGUCAUACUAAAUAUAUUAGAAAUACACCUAAUAUUCUUUU